rnacentral:rRNA from 1 species
GGAUAAUUUCUGGAAACGGAAACUAAAACCGGAUAGGUAAUAGAGAAGCAUUUCUGCAUUAUUAAAGAAGCCUCAAAGCUUUGAACAUGGAUGGACCUGCGGUGCAUUAGCUAGUUGGUAAGGUAACGGCCUACCAAGGCGACGAUGCAUAGCCGACCUGAGAGGGCGAACGGCCACAUUGGGACUGAGACACGGCCCAAACUCCUACGGGAGGCAGCAGUAGGGAAUUCUCGUCAAUGGGGGGAACCCUGAACGAGCAAUGCCGCGUGAGUGAAGACGGUCUUCGGAUUGUAAAGCUCUGUUGUGAGAGAAAAAGGAUAUGUAUAGGAAAUGAUAUGUAUUUGAUGGUAUCUCACCAGAAAGUCACGGCUAACUACGUGCCAGCAGCCGCGGUAAUACGUAGGUGGCGAGCGUUAUCCGGAAUGAUUGGGCGUAAAGGGUACGUAGGCGGCAUGAUAAGUCUGGAGUGAAAGGCUACAGCUCAACUGUAGUAUGCUCUGGAAACUGUCAAGCUAGAGUGCAGAAGAGGGCAAUGGAACUCCAUGUGUAGCGGUAAAAUGCGUAGAUAUAUGGAAGAACACCGGUGGCGAAGGCGGUUGCCUGGUCUGAAACUGACGCUGAAGUACGAAAGCGUGGGGAGCAAAUAGGAUUAGAUACCCUAGUAGUCCACGCCGUAAACGAUGAGAACUAGGUGUUGGGGGAAUAACUCAGUGCCGCAG